CGCACGGGUGCGCACCGCGUAUGGAAUCUGCCUUUUGCAGGGGAAUAGCCCAGGGAAACUUGGAUUAAUGCCCCGUGGCACCUUUAUAUAGCAUUAUAUUAAGGUUAAAGUCUUCGGGCGGCAAAAGAUGACCAUGCGUCCCAUUAGCUAGAUGGUAAGGUAACGGCUUACCAUGGCUACGAUGGGUAGGGGCCCUGAGAGGGGGAUCCCCCACACUGGUACUGAGACACGGACCAGACUCCUACGGGAGGCAGCAGUGAGGAAUAUUGGACAAUGGAGGAGACUCUGAUCCAGCCAUGCCGCGUGCAGGAAGACGGCCCUAUGGGUUGUAAACUGCUUUUAUACGGGAAGAAAAAAGGGUACGUGUACCCUACUGACGGUACCGUAAGAAUAAGGACCGGCUAACUCCGUGCCAGCAGCCGCGGUAAUACGGAGGGUCCGAGCGUUAUCCGGAAUUAUUGGGUUUAAAGGGUCCGUAGGCGGGCCAUUAAGUCAGGGGUGAAAGUCUGCGGCUCAACCGUAGUAUUGCCUUUGAUACUGGUGGUCUUGAGUUAUGGUGAAGUGGCUGGAAUAUGUAGUGUAGCGGUGAAAUGCAUAGAUAUUACAUAGAACACCGAUUGCGAAGGCAGGUCACUAACCAUAUACUGACGCUGAUGGACGAAAGCGUGGGGAGCGAACAGGAUUAGAUACCC
rnacentral:rRNA from 1 species